UAAUUUAUCCUUGAUUUUAUGUUAAAUGGCUCCUGGAUCCAUAUGGAUAAAAGCGUUUCAAUUGAAUGGAGAACAGUACAGAGGCAGGAAUUGGAAGCUUAAGUCUGUGUGCGGAGAAGGAACCAUGCUGGAGAUUGUUUUUGGUUUAAGGGAAGCAUUGGAUUUAGCUGCUGAAUUACCAGGAACAAGAAAUGGCCAUGAUUCUUGCAGCAAAGGUGUUCCCUUUGGAUAGUUGCCAAACAUAGAGAAAAACCUCAAAGCCCAAGAGCCACUGCCUCUGUAAGCAACAACUAUCUUAAAUCUUGCUAAGACUAAGUUUUAUCGAUGCCUACGAUUUCAGUAGUUACUGCAAAAACCCAUCAAUGUGUAGUCUGGACUAUUGAUGAAUGCUGAAUCAUUCUUGUUAGGUAAGAAGAUUGCAAUUAUAUUAUCAUAGUACAAAAUUAUACCCAUUUCCAUCUUUUAUCUUCUAUUUAUUUAUCCAUGAUCCAUCCACACCAAUAAAUCAGAAUCAACAACUGAGUCUCAGCGAUGGAUCGAGUUGUUGUUGCCAACCUUUUGUCUUAACAGCUUUUUGCAACAUAACAGGUAUACUGCAAUUGAGGUGUAAUUCUGUUCUGUCAUAUCUCAAGAUGCUUCUUCGAGUCGUCGGCUUAUUCUAAUCUGUAGCGCUUCAUUUCUUGCCAUUCAGAAUCUAAAUUGCAUUUCAACGCCAUUAAAGAGGAAUCAAAAGAUCUAGAGGAAACAGAUGGAGUUGUUGGGGCCAUUAAAUCAUUGUUUGUUCCUAAUGAGAAAACAAAAUCUGGGAAACUAUUGCCAAGGGCUUACCUGAAGUCAGCAAGAGAGGUUGUAAAGACACUGCACCACUUCCUGAAGAGUUCAUGAUUUGAAUGGUCGUGGUUAAAGCGAGCAAGCAAAGGGGUUUGGAUGGAUCUCAAUAGAGGCAAAGGAGAAUGAACCGAGAAAAGGAGGGUGGGUGGAUCCGGGAUCCCAAUCAAAAGCAGAGAAGCAAAGGUUGGGGGUGGGGUGGAGGAAGAACUGGGAAAGGGGGUUGGCUCUCGAUAAGAAGCAGAGAAGAAAGGGAGGGUGAGAAUAGCAUGUCAGUGAUGGCGGUGGUCGAGAAGGAGAAAUGAUUUUUUUUUUCCUCCCAACAUGAUUGUAAGUGAAUGGCGUUUACAAAACUAACAUUAAUUUGUAUUGAAGAAAAAUGAGCCCUUUUCAAUUGCAAUUAUACAUUAACAUUAGUGGGUGAUUUGAACAA